rnacentral:rRNA from 1 species
CGUGUAGGCGGCUUGACAAGUCAGAUGUGAAAUCCCCGGGCUUAACUCGGGAAGUGCAUUUGAAACUGUCUGGCUAGAGUAAGGGAGAGGAAAGUGGAAUUCCUGGUGUAGAGGUGAAAUUCGUAGAUAUCAGGAGGAACACCGGUGGCGAAGGCGACUUUCUGGCCCUAUACUGACGCUGAGACGCGAAAGCGUGGGUAGCAAACA